rnacentral:rRNA from 1 species
CAGUUCGGAUCGCAGCCUGCAACCCGGCUGCGUGAAGCUGGAAUCGCUAGUAAUCGCGGAUCAGAAUGCCGCGGUGAAUACGUUCCCGGGUCUUGUACACACCGCCCGUCACACCAUGGGAGCCGGAAACGCCCGAAGCCAGUGGCCUGACCGCGAGGAGGGAGCUGUCGAAGGCGGGUCCGGUGACCGGGGUGAAGUCGUAACAAGGUAUC